AACAAAUACGUGCUCCAUGUUGCCAGUGAGGGGAGAGUGAGCGAGACUGGCUUAUGACAAACGGAUAAUGGAACAAGACUGAAUGAGUCGUGACAAAUCUGUAAUCAGAGCUGUUUGACAUGGAACAAUCUGCCUCGUGCCAUGAUGGGGUCUCCUUUGCUGAAGGUUUUCAAAGAGAGGCUGGAUGGCCAUCUGUCAAGAAUGCUGGAGCUCGUACUGAGCACGGGGUUCGACUAGAAGAUCUCCAAGAUCCCUCUUCCAACUCUAAAAUUCUAAGAUUCUAUGAUACUAUGAUUGCUAAAUUAAAUAACAUUUGUAAAGUGACAGGCAACCAUUAUCUUGAUUCAAGCCUCAGCAAAUACCAACAGAAGAUACCUGCUAAUCGUGGACAUACUUCAUGCAUCUUAUGAAAUGAAUUGUACCCCACAAAAAGGUGAUUCUGCAAUAAAUUUAUUGGUCCUUAA